AGUACCAGGGAGAGAACCCAGGAGUCCUGGCUCCCAGCCCCCUCCUUUUCCAGAGCCAGGGGUGGAACCCAGGAGUCCCGGCGCCCUCCCUACACCCCAAAAAUAAAGGCUGUCCGGUUAACUGGGGGGGAGCUGAUUCUUGGGAAACCUUCCCGCAAACAGCCUCCAACCUGGAUCAGUGACGUUACCCGGGAUCCCCAUGAGACACGGCGCUUUCCACGUCAAUCCAGGUUGAAGACGGGCAGCGCUCGGAGAGAUCGUGGGUCACGAAGCCACGUGUGGGGCAGCAUCUGGUGCUCAGUGGGGCCGAUGUUUCCCUGACCCUCGUGGGACACUGCCCCAGCUUGUCCCUCGCGUGGCCUGGAGCUUUGCAGCAAGAUGACCUCCAAUUACAGCAGCAACAGCAGCUUGGCGGACCCAGUCUUCGUGGGGCUGUACGCCCUCAUCUUCACGCUGGGGCUGGUGCUCAACCUGGCCGCCCUCUACAUCUUCUUCCGCUGCAGCAGCGUCCGCUCCUUCACCACUGUCUACAUGAAGAACCUGGCCGUCUCUGACCUGCUGCUAGUGGUGUCGCUGCCCGUCCGGAUCUAUUACUAUAGCGGGCGGCCCAGUCUGGGAGUCCAGGUCUGCGAGAUCACGGGGCUGCUGCUGCUGGUCAACAUGUACGGGAGCAUCUUCCUGCUGACCUGCAUCAGUGGGGACCGCUGCAUGGCCGUCUGCUUCCCCCUGCACCCCCGGGUCAAGGCGCUGCGCAAACAGGCCAAGUACAUCUGCCUGGGCGUCUGGCUGCUGAGCUGCGCCGGUACCGUCCCCACCUACUUCACCCAGCCUGGGAAGGAGCCGCCGUGGGACCACUGCUUCGACAACAAGCCCAAGUACGUCACCCAGCCCAGCGUGUCCUCGGCCAUGGCUCUGUGCUUCGUCCUGCCGCUGCUGGUCAUGGUGGUCUGCUCCUGGGCCCUGCUCCGAGCCAUCCAGCGCAGCGCGGCCGCCCAGAUGGAGCUGGUGAACAGCGCCAAGAUCCGCAGAAUGAUUGUGGCCAACAUCACCAUCUUCCUAGGCUGCUUUCUGCCUUUCCACCUGGUGCUGAUCUGCUACCAGGUGGAUGCCCUGCAGGGCGACAUGCUGGACUUUUCCUACCGCUGCACCUUGCUGGUGGCCUCCGCCAACGCGGCCCUGGACCCGCUGGCCUAUUACUUCGCCACCGAGACCUUCCAGCGCAUGGUGGUGAUGGAUAAUCUGCGCAAGGCCUGGGGCUUCCACAGUGACAGCGCCGAGGGGCAGAGCCGCUCCCAGACUGCACUUGGGCAAUGCGUCUACCUGCAGAACACCAUGUCUUUGCCUAACAGCACCCCACUGGUGGGCAGCCCCAACAGGGAGCCCAGGAGCUAACCGGCCAUGGGGCUGGGCUCCCCUGGGCAAGGCACAGGGCAGUGGGACAUGCAUGAGCAGGGCUGGGAGCGAGGGAGGUGUGCAGUUUGGUAUUUGGGCAUCCCAGGCUGGGUUUGUGCUGGGACGGGGGUGUCGCCGGCUUGGGUUACGAUGGGCGCUGGGACGUCGCAGGCUGGUUUUGUGCCGGGCGCUGGGACGUCGCAGGCUGGUUUUGUGCCGGGCGCUGGGACGUCGCAGGCUGGUUUUGUGCCGGGCGCUGGGACGUCGCAGGCUGGGUUUGUGCCAGGUGCUGGGACGUCACAGGCUGGGUUUGCACUGGGCGGUGGGACGGGGGCGUUGUGGGCUUGGGUGGCACUGGGAGCUGGCGGUGGCAGUCUCUUGGCUAGGGAAAUGUAGUGCUCGUUGCCCUUUAACUCUGCUCAGAGCUUCGCAUGGGUCCCUUCUUGUUCUCACCAGACUGUUAACCCGUGGGAGGUGUUAUAAUCAGCAAGGGCCCAGCUGUGAACUGUCACCCUGAGCUGCCCAGGGCUCGCAGCCCCAUCUCCUCAUCAUGGGGCCCAGAGACCCCGAGCUCCCCUUUCCCCCAGCCCGGCUCGCAGCUGCCUCUCCAUGCAGCGAGGGCUGCUCAGGGGUGCGUGUGUGUGAAAUUGGGCAGAGGGGGGUGUUAAUUGGGGCUGAGCCUGCAGGGUUGUGGCAUGGGGAGGCGUCUCACCAUCCCAGGCCUCCACUGCAGCCCGGGGGCCAGCAUAGUGCAGCGUUUCCGUCGGGUGUGCUGAUGGGGUUUGCCCUGAGGUUUCACGCCGAGGCUCCUGGCGAAGGCAGCAGGAAUUUCCCCCCCGAGCAGCAAGCGCUUGCGGUUAAACCGCCCCACCCCGGUGCCAAGGAUGACUCAGGGCUUGAGCAGCGGCCGCUCCUGCUCUGGGCUCCAGGGGUCCCCAGUUCCGUCCCCGGCUGUCGGUCAUCACACGGGCAUUUCUACUCUGAGCAGCGUCUGAACCCCAGUGUCCUGUCUGGGCCAGCACCGGGGUGGAACCAAACCCAGAGCUUGAGCAUCAGACAUGCAGCCUGUGCCAGCCAAGCCCCGCUGAAACGGGCUUUAAGCUGCACGGGGCAGGCCAGGGUUUUGUGAGGCCAGAUUUCACAGGAGCGCAGCUCCCAUCUGGGUGCAUCAAAGAAGUUUUGUCUGCUGCGGGGGUGACCCUCUGGGAGCCUGAAAUUCUGGCCUUUAACUGAUCGGCCUGGCCAGUCCUGACUCUGCCCCGGGGUUUCGAAGAGUCUCUGUGGCAGCCCAGGGGAGCGGCCAGGCUGGGCGGGCGGCUCAGGAGAGCCGCAGCAGCCCGGGAGCUGGUUAGGGCGGGGAGCCAGGACUCGGGUUCGGGGCCUGACUCUUGGUGGGAACGGAGGGUGACGCCAGAACUCCUGGGCUUCUGCCAAGCGCGUGCCAAAUCCUGUCCCCCCUAACCGGCUCGGGUUCCCUGGCGGUGCAAUGGAGUUAAUGCCACCCGACUUCGGACGGGGGGUGUUUGCUCGCUCGAGAUGCCAGGACACAGUGGAGCCCCGUGGCCUGGCAAAGGGGCCGGAACUCAGCCACUUUGUGACAUUUGCACUUUAGCGCCGGCACAGGAGACGAAAGGUGGCUGUCUGUGGUGCUAAUUACUGGGAUGGCACUUACCCCUCAACGGAGCAACCGGGACAAGCGCGGCAGGAAGUGCGGCUACCCCAACGAGACCCUGCCCCACGUCCUGUGUGGAUGCCAGCACCACUCCGGAGCCUGGCGGCACAGCCACAGUGGAUGCCAGCACCAUCCCGCCGUCCCUGGGGAAGGUCACCGUCCCUGAAAUGAACAGCCGGCUGCGACCCGACAUUGUCGUGACUGAUGCGGAAGAGAAGAAGAUCCUCAUGGUGGACGUCACUGUGCCAUUCGAAAACAGAUCAUUGGCCUUCCACGAGGCCCGAGCUCGGAAGGUGCUGAAAUACAGCCCGCUCAUGGUGUCUGACACCAUCAGGUGGUCCAAAGACAUACACACAGAGCACAUCAUGGGACACCGACAGUACCAGGUGUUAGGAUAUAGAUAUUCAGGCCUGUCGGUAAAGGCCUGUACUCUAAGAAUUUAGGUGUAUUCUUAUCACUUAGCUAGUUCUAGAGGUAUAAAAGAAAGAAUCAAAAUCACUGUCUGCCGGUGUAAGGGCCUUCUCUCACCGAACAGUCUGAGGCCCUGUUCUUAGGCUAAGGCCUUUGGCUAAGCAGCAGAGGCAGCCAUGAGCUGGGAAGCGACCGGUCACCUCCUCACAUUCCAAACUAGUCACAUUGAAAGAAGGUGCUAUUGGGCUGUUAGGAAUACAAUCCUGUCCUGAUAAUGCCUAUCGCCUCCAGAGAAAGGGAAGUGCCUAGAAAAUGUAAAAGGAAACUUAGUUUGAGAGCAUCCUGUCUGGCAAGAACUCACUUAUCAAUAGCUGGGAUGUGAAAUCCUCACUUCUAUAGUGUUUUGUCAUUAUAGUUCCCACUUUGCUAUUGUUUGUCUAUAUAAUCUCUGUCUGGUGCUGUGAUUGUUCCUGUUUGCUGUAUAAUUAAUUUGCUGGGUGUAAACUAAUUAAGGUGGUGGGAUAUAACUGGUUACAUAAUCAUGUUACAAUAUGUUAGAAUUGGUUAGUUAAAUUUCAGGAAAAUGAUUGGUUAAGGUAUAGCUAAGCAGAACUCAAGUUUUACUAUAUAGUCUGUAGUCA